GAACAUAUUUUGAAGAAGAAAAAUUCAAGUAUCCCUCGCCAAUCAAAAAGGAACCCAAUGAUAGUUUAGUUGACGGAAAUGAAAAGAGUCCAGAUAUUAUCCCACUUCCUAAUGAUAUUGAAGUUUACGCAGCAUCAGUCGCUGUGGAAAUGUGUUCAGCAUCUCCCAGGUUACCAAAGCAAACUGCAGAAGUUUACUACACUGUCGAAAGUCAAACUUGCGUGUAGUAGACAUUUUACCACUUCAAAGUCAAUCCAACAGCCUUGCGACUCCCAACACAAUUUAAAAUGACAAAGGACCUGCUUUUGAGAUGAACCAAAGCUAACUCAACUGUUUAUUGUCGUUUCCUUUGCAGAAGAAAACAUAUGAAAGGGCCCAGAAUGCUACUUUAGAACAGGGAUUAUGACUUUUAGAAUAAUCAGCAGACCUCUUUUACAAAUUAUGAUGGCUGCCUUAAAUAUCACGACGACUGUAUCCACACAAUUUAUAGCUGAUGCAUCUCGACUGGGCCAGUAGCGGCAUUUGCAACAGUUGUCGAAUAUCAUCAUUAAUAACAUUACACAAUAUGCUUGUAACUCAGACAUGAUGAAGAAAGGACUUUGCCUGUUCAUUGUAUAUAUCAUUUUUAUACAGAUUUGGAUAUUUAUUUCGUAAUAAAAAAUCUGCACCUUC